AAUGGACUUUGGCCAAAGGAAAAGAAAGUUGUACCACCUGGCCACUUGGCAGCAGACAAAAACUUGCAAAAAGGCGGGCAAGAAAACACUUUGCUAUCAUUGCUCCAGCAUGUUUUUAUCCAAUGUAUUUUCUCUCACAGAUUGUCUCUACUUGCAAGCUUCCAGGAUUUUUAGAUGGAAUUUUCAUCAUAGUUGGUUAUAGCUUCUCCAGUGGCCUGUCUUCUGGAAUUAGCAAUUCUCACAAGACUUUAAUAACGUUGGCUCGGUUUGACUUCUCAAGGCUGGAAUGUGACCAAUACAUUAGCAAUGCUGAUUGGCUUUGAUGAGAGGUUUCUGAAAAGAAAUACAUGCAUAGAACUUUGACCUUGGGAAAAAUAGUGUUGAUGUGUUCAAACUACAACAACUUAAGAGUGUCUUUUGUAGCAUGACAGCAAUAAUUGUAUUAACCGAAGUGGAGUGAAAGUAAAUUUUAAGCAAAUUUCUACAAGAGAAACUCCUAGAGUACAGCCAGGAAAUUGCACAAUAGGUAUCAUUCAGUGGUGGAGCAGCAGUUCGUGGUGAUGGUAUCAUGCUUAAUGAAGGUAAUGAAAAGUAAGAAAUGCAAUGGAGAGCUGACGUUGCAUUGGCUGCAUUUAAUCACAUUGGAAGGAAGCUUUGUAUCAACUGAUGACAAGUUUGUGCUUUAGAGUAUACUGCUUUGAAGAUGAUGUCUGCCUAAAUGGAUCAGAAAUGUUAACACAAAGAAUAUAUAACAUAAAUUUUAAUCUUAACAUUACUCAUUGUAAUAUAUUGAGAAUCAAGAUUUGUAUCAUUGGAAUAAUAAAUACGCUAACCUGUAACUCACAGUCCUACAUGUGAACCACUAUCACAUAGUGAGCUAAUCAAGUAUGAAAAAUAGGUCUUGUAAACAAUAUGGGUACUUGGUUUUUAUGAGAGAGGAAAAAACAAGAAAUGGAAAUAGUAGCAUGGUUAUUGGCAGAA